GAUGAACGCUGGCGGCGUGCCUAACACAUGCAAGUCGAGCGAACCCUUCGGGGUGAGCGGCGGACGGGUGAGUAACGCGUGGGUAACCUGCCCUAUACACACGGAUAACGUACCGAAAGGUACGCUAAUACGGGAUAAAGUUGUUGGAUGGCAUCUUCUAACAAUCAAAGCUCUGGCGGUAUAGGAUGGACCCGCGUCUGAUUAGCUAGUUGGUGAGGUAAUGGCUCACCAAGGCGACGAUCAGUAGCCGACCUGAGAGGGUGAUCGGCCACACUGGAACUGAGACACGGUCCAGACUCCUACGGGAGGCAGCAGUGGGGAAUAUUGCACAAUGGGCGAAAGCCUGAUGCAGCAACGCCGCGUGAGCGAUGAAGGUCUUCGGAUCGUAAAGCUCUGUCCUCAAGGAAGAUAAUGACGGUACUUGAGGAGGAAGCCCCGGCUAACUACGUGCCAGCCGCCGCAGUAA
rnacentral:rRNA from 1 species